GGUCCACAUCCUAUGUUACUCAUUCAAUAAUAUGACAAGUGGGUUCAUGAAGGUCUUCUAGCAAGACAUGAUCAGAAAGGUAAUCUCGACGACCAUUACAAGAAAAACAAGUCUAUACUUCACAUUCCAUUGGAUUUUGGAGUUGAUCAAGUUGAUUCCAAAAACUGGUUUUACCUUCUAUCCAUUUACGGGAAGUUAUGGGAUGACAAUCAUAUGGAUGUCAUAUUCUACUAUUUGCGAAAGAUGGGCG